rnacentral:RNase_P_RNA from 1 species
GGCGCAAGCCGUCUUAUCGCUGCCCCACGCAGGUGGGGGAGAGGAAAGUCCGGGCAACGCAGAGCGGCGUACUUCCUAACGGGAAGGCACUCUUACAAGGAGGGUGACAGACAGUGCCACAGAAAAUUACCGCCGGAGGUUGGGGGUUGGUUGUUCGUUGUUGGUUAUUCCUUGUUCGUAACGCGUCCAAUGAACAACCCGCGACGAACAACCAACAACCAGUCUCCGGUAAGGGUGAAAAGGUGGGGUAAGAGCCCACCGCCCGGCUGGCGACAGGCGGGGCACAGGUAAACCUUACGCGUUGAAAGACCAAAUAGGCUGGUGAUUCAGUCGGCCGUGCAAACAGCCGGCUGGUGAAGGGCGGCUCGUCCGGUAUGCCAGUGGGUAGGUCGUUGGAGACGGUUCGUGAGGACCGUUCUGGAUAAAUGAUAAGAACCUCCUCCGGGAGGCACAGAACCCGGCUUACAGGCUUGCGUUCCUU